CCUUCGAUAGCUCAGCUGGUAGAGCGGAGGACUGUAGGUGUGAUGCAGCAAUUGGUAAGUCGCUGGUUCAAUUCCGGCUCGAAGGA
rfam:Xenopus tropicalis strain Nigerian Chr03_contig_3059, whole genome shotgun sequence.